UGAUUGGAAUGAAAUCUGGGGCAUCGGCGGCAGAGAUUCGCAUCUCCUGAGAAUCAUCUGACUGACAAAGAUUGAGUGGAUGUCCUUCCCUGAAAGACAACUGGCUCCUCAGCCUCAUGCCUGCCCUCUCUCAGAGCAUGCACGGUGACUCUGUUGACCCAAUCCAACCCAUCUUUCUUUCUGUGUCAGAGAGGGGGGCGUCCCCUACUUGAACCCAACAUCGCAAACCAAUAGCAAGGACCCCAGUCUCUCACUGAGCCACUGCCACCCAGACAGCCAGGCUGAGUGGCAGAGAGGGAGGCAGCGAUGGAGGGAGGAGUCUGGAGCUCCAUCCACUGACUGCUGUGUGUGCUGUUUUGACCUCUCCAAUCUCCCCUGCCAUGAUCUCCUGGGUGCUCCUGCUCCUAUGGAUCUCCGGACA